AGAGCGAACGCUGGCGGCAGGCCUAAUACAUGCAAGUCGAACGGACCCUUCGGGGUUAGUGGCGGACGGGUGAGUAACACGUGGGAACGUGCCCUUUGGUUCGGAACAACUCAGGGAAACUUGAGCUAAUACCGGAUGUGCCCUUCGGGGGAAAGAUUUAUCGCCAUUGGAGCGGCCCGCGUCUGAUUAGCUAGUUGGUGGGGUAAAGCCCACCAAGGCUACGAUCAGUAGCUGGUCUGAGAGGAUGAUCAGCCACACUGGGACUGAGACACGGCCCAGACUCCUACGGGAGGCAGCAGUAGGGAAUCUUGCGCAAUGGGCGAAAGCCUGACGCAGCCAUGCCGCGUGAAUGAUGAAGGUCUUAGGAUUGUAAAAUUCUUUCAGCGGGGACGAUAAUGACGGUACCCGCAGAAGAAGCCCGGCUAACUUCGUGCCAGCAGCCGC
rnacentral:rRNA from 1 species